rnacentral:rRNA from 1 species
UACGUAGGGGGCUAGCGUUAUCCGGAAUUACUGGGCGUAAAGGGCGCGUAGGCGGUCUUGCAAGUCCUGUGUGAAAUCCCUCGGCUCAACUGAGGAACUGCACAGGAAACUGCUUGGCUUGAGUUCGGGAGAGGGAAGCGGAAUUCCGGGUGUAGCGGUGAAAUGCGUAGAUAUCGGAAGGAACAUCAGUGGCGAAAGCGGCUUCCUGGACCAGCACCGACGUUCAGGCACGAAAGCGUGGGGAGCAAACAGG